GGUUGUAUAGUGUAGUUGGUUAUCACUUCGGAUUCUGACUCCUCCGCUUCUCGCAAUGAGAUCGGCGCGAUCGUUAUUCCGGCGACCUGGGUUCGAAUCCCAGUACGACCU